CAAGGAAUAGUUUAUAAAAAUAUAAAUUUUGGAGAUUUAAGAUGGGGUUACUUCUUCCUUGA
rnacentral:tRNA from 1 species